AUCACAGGCAGUCUCCUUGGC
rnacentral:miRNA from 1 species